CUGAGAUCAAACUCAAUUCCCUAUCUUUUGGAUGCCAAGUGCUUUUUGAGCCAUUUCCUUGACUGCUGGUCCAAUUCAAAGAAUGCUAAAGUGAAUAGUAGAUGAAUAUUGAAUAAGGAACUAUCAGUGCCUAUGGGAAAUUGAGAGAGCAAGAAGUUGCCUUAUGAGAAGAUGUUUUGCUGAGGCUGACACAAUAGAGGAUCCAUGAUGUUUGGAAAAAGUGUUAUAACAGUCCUGUUUCCCUAUGUGGCCCUAAUGGUAACAUCUGCAUAUUCCCAUAGCUGAUUUUCAGAGCUGGGAGGAAACCAGAGGGAGUCGACUCCCUAGGGUUGUAAGGAAUAUACAAGCAUGAAAACCUACAAAAACAUCGACCGCACUGCUGUCUGCUGUUUCAUCAGCCUUACCUGGGAUCAUCUUCAACACUUCAGGGCAAGACAGGAGUCCCAGAACCAAGAGCCUGGAACUCAGCCAGUCUCACAGCAGUGAGUCAAUCUGACACCAACAGUGAGUCAAAGCUGCAUUUGGUUCCCAAGUCUUUAAGACACCAAACAGUGCCUACAGAAGUCAGAAGCCAGUAUUUGAGCCCCUGGAGCUAUAGCUGCAGCCAG